rnacentral:rRNA from 1 species
GAUGAACGCUGGCGGCGUGCCUAAUACAUGCCAGUCGAGCGAACGGACGAGAAGCUUGCUUCUCUGAUGUUAGCGGCGGACGGGUGAGUAACACGUGGAUAACCUACCUAUAAGACUGGGAUAGCUUCGGGAAACCGUAGCUAAUACCGGAUAAUAUUUUGAACCGCAUGGUUCAAAAGUGAAAGACGGUCUUGCUGUCACUUAUAGAUGGAUCCGCGCUGCAUUAGCUAGUUGGUAAGGUAACGGCUUACCAAGGCAACGAUGCAUAGCCGACCUGAGAGGGUGAUCGGCCACACUGGAACUGAGACACGGUCCAGACUCCUACGGGAGGCAGCAGUAGGGAAUCUUCCGCAAUGGGCGAAAGCCUGACGGAGCAACGCCGCGUGAGUGAUGAAGGUCUUCGGAUCGUAAAACUCUGUUAUUAGGGAAGAACAUAUGUGUAAGUAACUGUGCACAUCUUGACGGUACCUAAUCAGAAAGCCACGGCUAACUACGUG